GACGAACGCUGGCGGCGUGCUUAACACAUGCAAGUCGAGCGGUAAGGCCCCUUCGGGGGUACACGAGCGGCGAACGGGUGAGUAACACGUGAGCAAUCUGCCCAUCACAUCGGGAUAACUCCCGGAAACCGAAGCUAAUACCGAAUACGACCACCUCCGGCAUCGGAUGGUGGUGGAAAGUUCCGGCGGUGAUGGAUGAGCUCGCGGCCUAUCAGCUUGUUGGUGGGGUAACGGCCCACCAAGGCUUCGACGGGUAGCCGGCCUGAGAGGGUGACCGGCCACACUGGGACUGAGACACGGCCCAGACUCCUACGGGAGGCAGCAGUGGGGAAUAUUGGACAAUGGGCGAAAGCCUGAUCCAGCAACGCCGCGUGAGGGAUGACGGCCUUCGGGUUGUAAACCUCUUUCAGCAGGGACGAAGCGCAAGUGACGGUACCUGCAGAAGAAGCACCGGCCAACUACGUG
rnacentral:rRNA from 1 species